rnacentral:lncRNA from 1 species
CUCUGAGCGCGACCCUACCCGGCUCGGGCCCGCAGCAGCCCCGAUUGUCCGAGAGCCUCUCCGAAAGCAAGGCUCUGCGCCGCCCUCUGAGCCCACCUCCUGGCCACAACGCUGCCUGCGCUUCUCCAGCCCAGGCCGGAAGCCCUAUGCUGCCUCCAGAAGCCGGACUUUCUGGAAGCCCAUCUUCGUAUGCUCACCAGCCCACCCUCCUACGCUGGUCAGAGUGAGAUUGCUAAUCUCAAGACCCCAUUCAAUGCCAGCUUUCAACUACUGCUGAAGACCAAUGUAGGUCCUGGAAUAGAAGAACUGCAGAGUCUUGGCUUUUGCUUUUGUGUGUCCACCUCGAGCAGAUCCGGAGCUGGCCGACCCCAGACUGAUUCUCAACAGGUGGCUGGAUGCAGACAAAAGCUACCAUGUCCGCUUGGAGUGACGCCCAGACACGCACAGAGAUGUACAGGAAGCCAAGGAGAGUGGGAUUCACCAGAGUACAGUACAAGUACAGAGUACAGUGCAAGAUGCCCAGU